CCAGGGGAAUGAGUGAAGCUGCCAGCAUGAUCUAGCUUUCAGUGACCAAAGACUAUUCGUUGAAAUAGUCCCAUGUAUAUAUAGGUUAUUGUUAUUAGCAACAGCGUUAUUUUCUACUACGACGGAUCACAUUAAAUUCACAGACUCGGUUUAAUGUAUAUAUCUGCCAAUAGUAAAUUUGGCUCUGUUAAUAGCAUCAUCCUGUGUAUAACUGAGAAAAGGUCAGUGUUUGCUAGGUCAUGCUGCGACAGCCUCACUUCUUCCCAUA
rnacentral:pre_miRNA from 1 species